CCUACGGGAGGCUGCAGUGGGGGAUAUUGCACAAUGGGGGGAACCCUGAUGCAGCGACGCCGCGUGUGGGAAGACGGUCCUCUGGAUUGUAAACCACUGUCCCCAGGGACGAAAAUGACGGUACCUGGGGGGGAAGCUACGGCUAACUACGUGCCAGCAGCCGCGGUAAUACGUAGGGAGCGAGCGUUGUCCGGAAUUACUGGGUGUAAAGGGAGCGUAGGCGGGGAUGCAAGUUGGGUGUAAAAACUACCGGCUCAACUGGUAGUCGCACUCAAAACUGCCGCUCUUGAGUGAAGUAGAGGCAGGCGGAAUUCGUGGUGUAGCGGUGAAAUGCGUAGAUAUUAGGAGGAACACCAGUUGCGAAGGCGGCCUGCUGGGCUUUUACUGACGCUGAGGCUCGAAAGUGUGGGGAGCAAACAGGAUUAGAUACCCUUGUAGUC
rnacentral:rRNA from 1 species